GUCUUGGUCCUAAACUUACUGUUACUACAAACUGAUCUUACACAUGCCAGUAUCCGCGCACCAGUGCCCAAGCCCUAAACCACCCAAACCAGGAGCCGGUAUCAGGCACAUUAAACAUACAGCCCAAGACACCUAGCACACGCCACACCCCCAAGGAACUCAGCAGUGAUAAACAUUAGGCAAUAAGCCCACACCGCUUGACCUAGACCCAGCACACCCCCAGAGUCGGUAAACCCCGUGCCAGCCACCGCGGUUAUACGUGGGACUCAAAGUAACCCCCCUCGGCGUAAAACGUGACUAGAGAUUCGACCCCAACAGGACACAAAAGUGACACAAAGUUGUAGAACACUUAUAUGUCACCCAACCCAACCACUGCCCUAACACAAGCCACACUUGACCACACGAAAACUAAGGCACAAACUAGGAUUAGAUACCCUACUAUGCUUAGUCGUUAACCAUGAUAGUGCCACAACCAACUAUCCGCCAGAGAACUACAAGCGAAAAGCCUAAAACUCAAAGGACUUGACGGUGUCCCACACCAACCUAGAGGAGCCUGUCCUAUAAUCGAUACUCCACGCUGCACCUCACCAACUCUAGCCAAACCACAGCCUAUAUACCGCCGUCGCCAGCCUACCUUAUGAAAGCCACAGUAGUAAGUAUAAUAGCCAACACUAAAACGUCAGGUCAAGGUGUAGCUAAUGAGUUGGCACGCGAUGGGCUACAUUUUCUUACAAAGACACCACCAACCGUAACAUGAAAUAUCUACUACAAGUAGGAUUUAGCAGUAAACAUGGCAAGCAUGCCACAUUGAAACUAGCCCUGGGACGCGUACACACCGCCCGUCACCCUCAUCAAUAAAACAACACAGACCAUAAAUAAUAAUAUUAUACACCAAAGAUGAGAUAAGUCGUAACAUGGUAAGCGUACUGGAAAGUGCGCUUGGACAA
rnacentral:ncRNA from 1 species